AAAAACGUUAAAAAUAUCACAAGGAAAACACGCACAACCGUUGCGCAGGAGCAGCAGUGGAAAACUGACUGAUGGACACGGAAAAUCUCGGCAGGCAGAAGGAUUUAGGAGCGCUGCAGAUGACAGCAAACAAUGGACCAGGAAAAUGUUGGCCAGGAGUGGAAAAUUGACAAACAAUGGGUCAGUCAGCCAGUCGCUGAGCGGAGGGUGAAGGUGAAUGUGAAUGUGAAUGUGAACGUGAGCUACUCACUCACCUUAUAAAGGUGCAAGAUGGUGAGAGGGAGAGGGAGAUGAAGAGAGGGGAGUGGAGGAGGAUGGGCAGAAGGAUCUGCUGAUGCACAAAAGCAACAAUAACACAGUCCUUACAGACACAUGUGUGUGUGUGUGUGUGUGCGCAGAUGCAGAUGCAAGACGGCAAAUGGCAGAGGAAACGGCUUUCUUACACAGAGAGAAAAACAAAACAACACUCAGUGAAAAAUCUAAAAAAAAAUUCCUAUUAAUUUUCAGCUUAAGUUAAUAUUAUGUAGAAUAUUUAAAUAAUUUGAAGUGUACACUUUUUAGUUAUAAUUAAAAACCAUUAAGAC
rnacentral:lncRNA from 1 species